AACGAACGCUGGCGGCAUGCCUAACACAUGCCAGUCGAACGAGACCUUCGGGUCUAGUGGCGCACGGGUGCGUAACGCGUGGGAACCUGCCCUUAGGUUCGGAAUAACUCCCCGAAAGGGGUGCUAAUACCGGAUAAUGUCUUCGGACCAAAGAUUUAUCGCCUUUGGAUGGGCCCGCGUUUGAUUAGCUAGUUGGUAGGGUAAAAGCCUACCAAGGCGACGAUCCAUAGCUGGUCUGAGAGGAUGAUCAGCCACACUGGGACUGAGACACGGCCCAGACUCCUACGGGAGGGAGCAGUGGGGAAUAUUAGACAAUGGGCGAAAGCCUGAUCCAGCAAUGCCGCGUGAGUGAUGAAGGCCUUAGGGUAGUAAAGCUCUUUUACCCGGGAUGAUAAUGACAGUACCGGGAGAAUAAGCUCCGGCUAACUCCGUG
rnacentral:rRNA from 1 species